AUCUAUGGCCAUGCUACCCUGAACAAGCCCAAUCCCGUCUGAUCUCGGAAGCUAAGCAGGGUCUGGCCUGGUUAGUACUUGGAUGGGAGACCACCUAGGAAGACCAGGUGCUGUAGGAG
rnacentral:rRNA from 1 species